rnacentral:lncRNA from 1 species
AAGACACAAGGCGUGAUCAAAGGAAAAUGCCACCUGGGGAGGCUCCGAGCAGAGGCAUUGGUAACUGCAGUAAAUGAGGGCGUGUGAGUUUGAGGCAGCGAUGGACAGAGGGCGGUGUGUGCUGAACGUCUGACCGUGGGAAUGAAGGUGGCGCUGCUUGCUGGGGCAAAUAUUCUCUCCGUGCCCGCCCCCCACAUAUAACUCCCCCGGUGGCAGCCACGUGCUUUACCCUUCCCAAAGCCCCCUUUAAAGAUGCCUGCCUAGUGCCUCUGAAACCGCACUCAGACAUAUCAGAGCACAUGUCCCAACUCGAAGUUUAGAAAAUGCCAUCCCCGCAGCUCUAAGCCCGUCACCUUUGCCGGCAGAGAAAGUGCUCUCACUUCACUCUUUACGGAUCCUUCUUGGUGACCUCGCAUCACUUUCUUUUAUGGACACACAAAUUAUGAGCGGUAGGUGAGGCCUUCAACUCCCUUCAGUGUAACUGGUCCCUUUUACCCGGCAGUGCAACUGACUCAGAAAGCUCAAUGUGGCCACAGUGACGCAGGUGCUGUCCCUCUGAAGGCGGUUCUUGAUCCUCCCCGUAAAUCACCACAAUCACUCUCACAGUGACUGAACCAUCACCAUCUCCAAGACUGUCCGCACAGGACAGGGGAGCUGUGCAGCCCCGUGACAAGGAGGCGCACAUUCAACUGAAGGUCAAGAAGACCCUUGACUCUACGAGUUUGAGGUUUUGCUCGUCUGUUCAUUUUUAAUGUACAUGGCUAGAGUUCCCGCUGUGGCGCAGUCACAAGGAACCCGACGAUUAUCCAUGAGCAUGCAGGUUCCAUUCCUGGCUUCCAUCAGUGGGUUAAGGAUCCAGUGUUGCCAUGAGCUGCGGUGUGGGUCUCAGACUCGACUCAGAUCUGGCGUUGCUGUGGCUGUGGUGUAGCCUGGGAACCUCCAUGUGCCACAGGAGCGGCCCUAGAAAAGACAAAAAGACAAAAAAAAAAAAAAAAAAAAAAAAAAGGAAGGGUUACACUGCCAAGGAUGAUUAAGGAAACAAUUUGCAAUUGACAUUCAAGGAUGGACUUAAGACUGGGUUUGACGGAGGAAUUGAGAGAAUCAGGCCAGAGCUUCUCCUGGUAACACUGAUCACACCAGUGCUGCGAUGAUCAGGUAGCCAGAGACCUGUUCUGAGCCGUCUUCAUCUGCCUGGGCAGGAGGGGAAACGCCCGUGGCCGGCAGGGGGUGGGGCGGGGCUAUGAGUUGGUACCGAGCAGAGCAGCUGGUUGCUGAGAUGCUCUUCCUGUCUUAACAACACCCGGAAGUGACAGAGCCAGGACAGAGUCAACAGUGACCUGCAUAACACGAGAGACCGAAUGGACAAACGGCCAGAACUCCGACCCACAACCUCUGCAGCAGCCAAACCACAAACUCAGCAGCCGUCAAUCCCAAAGAGGCAGGACGUGCUCGUUAAUGCCAGGAUCUCUCAUGUUUGCCUUCUCCUCCAACUCAGGACCAACUACAGAAAGCCACAUAUCCCUCCACCCAAGCACAGAGGCAGCCCAGCUCCUACCGGGCCAGCCUCCAGCCUCCCCAGGCCAACAGCCUCCAUCAGAACACACCUGAAGCAUCCAUUCUUUUACUCGACAACUUUCCCUCUCCCCUGCCUGCCUUUGAGUCUCUGCUGAGCACCAGUGAUGGGGGGUGACUCCCCUGCUACAGCAAGCUCGGAAUAAAAGGCUUCGGCUUGUUCCCAUUGGGGUUGUCGUUGCCUAUUUCCACUCCCAUCUUAAAUUGCCUAGGAUUUUGAUUAAGGCCUACAUUUGCCACAAAGUCCGCUCCUCAUGUGCCUUUGAGUUGUGCCCAAAGAUCUACCUAUAAGAUUCCCGUUGCCCUAACUCCUGACAUGGAAUACGACACACACACACUUGUGCCUGUGCGCACACUACUGGAACUGGCUUGAAUCAUUUAUGUAUCUGAUUGAAUUAUUUAUGUCCUCAUUCCAAGUGUGCUAAAGGCUUCCACUGACGUCUGCUCUGGUGUGCAUUAAGCCUGUAUGGGGCAAUUGCUUCGACUUAUAUGACACCCAAGGCAGAACCCAAGUGGAGACAGGCCCUUACCAAGAUUUAACGAGGACACUGCUGCUAUUGUCUGCUGCUACCCAGAAACUAAACAACUGUGUUUAUGUUGGACUCAAUACAAUCCAUUUCUUGAUAAGUCUGAGGUUAAGACCAAGGGUCAGCAAACUCUACCUGGAGCUCUAUGUAGCCCACUGCCUAUUUUAUAAAUAAAGUUUUAAUGACACACAGCAACACUCAUUCAUUUCCUUAUUAUCUAUGCCUGCUUCUACCCUACCAAGGCAGAGUUGAGUAGGUGUGACGAAGACCAUACGACCUGCCCCCAGACCCGUCCCUUUUUGUCCUGUUCUGUACCUGGAAGCCCCAGCAGACUGCAUCUCCCAGGUUGCCUCACCUCCAAGCCAGUUGGGUUUGACCAAUGGGAAGCUGCCUGCGGGAAACCAGGGAGGGAGAGGAGAGAGGCCGGCGCCCCCACAGCCUCACCACAUCUAUGAUGGAACCUGUCUCUCCUGGGUCAGGGCUCCUUACAGACGGCACCUCUUCCACAAGCCAGCUCUCACUGAGUUCCCCUAAUGCCAUGUACCCCCAGGGGUUGACAGACAGCUUCUUCUUGUUGCUAGUCUGGAGGGACCUCAUUCACCAUCCCUGGUUCAUUUCUGCAAUUCGGCCACACUGCACUCCUUUUGUCUUUGCACUGGACUCACCUGGGAGCAGCCCUGCUCGUGUCUUGAUCAGUAAAGGCCCUCCACUCGAACCAUUUGAAACGCCACAUGAACCAUCUGCUUUUUGCUGGAACCUUGACCGAUACUGUCCUUGUCUGCCUUUCAAUAAUAACUCAGUUAAUCAACUGGUCUAACCCACUCAGGAUAUAAGGUCAAAGCACGUUCACUCAGCACAUGCGUGAACAAUGGCACUGUAAUGAGAGAGGGGCCUUUCAUUGCUGACAUCUGCAUUCAUAAAAUGUCUUUGGAUCAGCCUCGCCCCGUCUCCAUCCCAUAGUGUACUUUAAGGAUAAGAAGCGCUUU